rnacentral:rRNA from 1 species
GACGAACGCUGGCGGCGUGCUUAACACAUGCAAGUCGAACGAUGAAGCCGGAGCUUGCUCUGGUGAAUUAGUGGCGAACGGGUGAGUAACACGUGAGUAACCUGCCCUUGACUCUGGGAUAACUGCGGGAAACUGUAGCUAAUACCGGAUACGACCCUCGGAGGCAUCUCCCGUGGGUGGAAAGAAUUUCGGUCAAGGAUGGACUCGCGGCCUAUCAGCUAGUUGGUGGGGUAAAGGCUCACCAAGGCGACGACGGGUAGCCGGCCUGAGAGGGUGACCGGCCACACUGGGACUGAGACACGGCCCAGACUCCUGCGGGAGGCAGCAGUGGGGAAUAUUGCACAAUGGGCGCAAGCCUGAUGCAGCAACGCCGCGUGAGGGAUGACGGCCUUCGGGUUGUAAACCUCUUUUAGCAGGGAAGAAGCGAAAGUGACGGUACCUGCAGAAAAAGCACCGGCUAACUACGUGCCAGCAGCCGCCGUAA